rnacentral:rRNA from 1 species
ACGCACGCUGGCGGCGUGCUUCACCCAUGCCAGUCGCACGGAAAGGCCCUGCUUUUGUGGGGUGCUCGAGUGGCGAACGGGUGAGUAACACGUGAGUAACCUGCCCUUGACUUUGGGAUAACUUCAGGAAACUGGGGCUAAUACCGGAUAGGAGCUCCUGCUGCAUGGUGGGGGUUGGAAAGUUUCGGCGGUUGGGGAUGGACUCGCGGCUUAUCAGCUUGUUGGUGGGGUAGUGGCUUACCAAGGCUUUGACGGGUAGCCGGCCUGAGAGGGUGACCGGCCACAUUGGGACUGAGAUACGGCCCAGACUCCUACGGGAGGCAGCAGUGGGGAAUAUUGCACAAUGGGCGGAAGCCUGAUGCAGCAACGCCGCGUGCGGGAUGACGGCCUUCGGGUUGUAAACCGCUUUCGCCUGUGACGAAGCGUGAGUGACGGUAAUGGGUAAAGAAGCACCGGCUAACUACGU